UGCAACGCGCAGAACCUUACCAGCCCUUGACAUGGGAAGUAUGGAAUGGGGAGACCUGUUCCUUCAGUUCGGCUGGCUUCCACACAGGUGCUGCAUGGCUGUCGUCAGCUCGUGUCGUGAGAUGUUGGGUUAAGUCCCGCAACGAGCGCAACCCUCACCUUCAGUUGCCAUCAGAGUUAAGCUGGGCACUCUGAAGGAACUGCCGGUGACAAGCCGGAGGAAGGCGGGGAUGACGUCAAGUCCUCAUGGCCCUUACGGGCUGGGCUACACACGUGCUACGAUGGCGGUGACAAUGGGAUGCAAAGGGGCGACCCCGAGCCGAUCCUAAAAAGCCGUCUCAGUUCAGAUUGCACUCUGCAACUCGGGUGCAUGAAGGUGGAAUCGCUAGUAAUCGUGGAUCAGCAUGCCACGGUGAAUACGUUCCCGGGCCUUGUACACACCGCCCGUCACACCAUGGGAGUUGGUUUUACCUUAAGCCGGUGCGCUAACCGCAAGGAGGCAGCCGUCCACGGUAAGGUCAGCGACUGGGGUGAAGUCGUCGUAACAAGGUAGCCGUAA
rnacentral:rRNA from 1 species